rnacentral:rRNA from 1 species
UACGGAAGGCAGCAGUAGGGAAUAUUGGGCAAUGGGCGAGAGCCUGACCCAGCCAUGCCGCGUGCAGGAAGAAGGCUUUCUGAGUCGUAAACUGCUUUUGAUAGGGAAGAAUAACCAGUACGUGUACUGGGAUGACGGUACCUACAGAAUAAGCACCGGCUAACUCCGUGCCAGCAGCCGCGGUAAUACGGAGGGUGCGAGCGUUGUCCGGAUUUAUUGGGUUUAAAGGGUGCGUAGGCGGCCCGUUAAGUCCGGGGUGAAGCCCGCUGCUCAACAGCGGAACUGCCCUGGAUACUGGCGGGCUUGAGUACAGACGAGGUUGGCGGAAUGGACCAAGUAGCGGUGAAAUGCAUAGAUACGGUCCAGAACCCCGAUUGCGAAGGCAGCUGACUAGGCUGUUACUGACGCUGAGGCACGACAGCGUGGGGAGCGAACAGGAUUAGAUACC